GGCCUCACUAGACACAGAGCUGGACGUAGCCUUGACAGUGACGCAGCCCCCUCUUUCAGACGUGCAUGCCGAAAUCCGGAAGCUGAACCACCCGCCCAGUCUUUCAAGGGGAGGGGCAGCAUCCAGCCCCAGGUGGACGGCUCGGUGCAGUUCCCCAGCCACGUGAAGACUGCCUCGGAGAAUCCUUCUGUUAAUCUGAUCAAAAAAGCCAAGCUUUCGUCUUCAGGUACCCGGACCAACUGCUCGUGCGGCGGGACAGAGUGGGGCAGCCCCAGCCUGGGAGCCUCCUCCUCGGUUCUGAGGGUCACUUGCUGGGGGCCCUCGGGGUGAACUUGGGACACCAGAACUGGCCUCACAUGCUCACCCCUGCAGGCAGUGGUAGGAUUCGACCCCGGAACUGGUUGCAUCCACCCCUGAGGCUUUCAGGCUCGAACCCCUUGCCCGCGGAAACGGGAGGUUUGUUCUGAAAUCAAAGCUUCCCAAGAGGCAGUCCCCAAGGGCAUCCCAGUGGCAGCUGCCACCUUGGUUCCUGGGCUCAGAGCCCCUUGGUCCAGAUCCCAGUGACGCCCUAGCUGAGUUCAGGUGGCCUUGCCCUCCUGCCCCCAGCCCUGCCCCCCCCCCCACGACGGGCAGAGAAGGUGACACCACUGCCUCUGCGCAGUCACUGCUGCCGAGGAACAAAUCCAGCCAGUGACAGCCGCAACUCUCGUGAGAACCUUGGACACGUACAGUGUGAUUCAAAGUUGAAAUAAGGUUUCACACACAAAUGCGUACUUUAUGGCCAUUUUACAGGUGAGAAAAGUGGAGUCCAGAGAGCACGGCGUCCCUUAGCAAGAGCUGGAGCCACGUGUACCAGAGGCCUCCACCUGGCGGCCCAGGCCGUCAAGCUCUGCCACAAACAUCUCAGGCCUUCAGUCCCACGCCUGCUCCAGGCGACCUUCAGCUUAAGACGUGUCAUGUUCUCCCUGUCUCUCCAGGACAGAAGGUACUUUCUCGCUUUGGUCAGCAUCACUCUCCCUCUCUGUAGACACAAAGGUUUUCCAGGUUCCCAUCAAAAGCCACUGUUUGUCUGUUCAGACUCCCUGGGUCCCUCCGGUCCUCGGCAAGAGGUCGUCACCCUCCGGGGACUCGGCCACCCUCCAGCCAAUCGUCACAGGCCGCAUGGGCCAGAAGGGUGGAUGGUGUUUACGUAUUAUCCGACACUGCUGGUGGACACUGCCUGGGUUUCUUGCUUCUGCUGCUGCUGCAGCUGUUUUGGUUUUUUUUUUUUUUUUUUU
rnacentral:lncRNA from 1 species